UUAUUAUUAAUUUUGAUGUAUUAAUUAUUAUUUUGAUGUAUUAAACGAUUUCAAAAAUCAAAAAGGUAUUUUGUUUUUGUGUUUGCACGUGAUUAAAUUGAUCGCCCAACUACCUUGACCUUCGUCUAAAUUUAAAUCUUAAUUGUGUUCCUUCGUUAAAUUUUGACUGAUUUUCACACUUGCAUAAUUGAACGUAAACGAGUUUACCACCCUCACUGGAUCAACAACAAAUCGUAUUACAACGCAUUCAUAACAACAUGAUGACGUGGUAAAAUCCUAACGAGACGGGGCAACGGACGAUGGAGCAUUAAAAAAAUCCACGUUGUAUCUGCAGUAUUUGCCGGGACGCUAACAAAUGACGUCAUGUUUAUUUUUUCCACGCACGCCUACUAUAUAGUAAUAUAAUGCGUAUUAAAUUUUCUUACAAACGUAAUUGUCGGUAGGAUCAACAACUAUUCUUUGCCGCGUGAUUCAUCUGAAUCGUUUCAAGUUCAAUGUCAGUAUGCCGAGGGUUUUCUCUAUUAAUGACGCAUCUCGCAUUCAUUUUACAGCAUGACAUUUUGUUCACUUGUAGGAAUGUUCGAACAUCGUCGUAGAAUAUGUUAUUUAAAGUGUAGUGACUGCAAGUUAUUCAUUAAUUUCGGAGUUUGUAAACAUCGAAAUGAUUGCAGGUGUCCAUAAAAUGCAUUUUUUCGGAGGGAAAAAUCUACAACAUAAAUUGAGAAAAAAAUCACCAUUGUUUUGUGCGGAAAUAUUUUAAAACCAUUUGAGAUAACUGAAGAAAUAAUUCAUCGUUUCUAAUCGAUUGAAUGUGUUGCGAUACAAGACAAUCAAAAAUUAAUUUUUACAUUUUAACAAAUGUGUUUUUUAAUUUUUAAUUUCUUUGCAUAUGAUUAAAACUCCAAGAACACGUGACGAUUACUAAAACACAAAUACCUCAAUGUUUUGAACAAGUCAAAUAGCCUGUUCACUGUCUGUGGAAGUUUUAAAAUUCAAUUUGUUAUUUUCACAAAUUCGGUUCCAUCAGCAAAUGUUACAUUAUAGUUUAUUAUUUUGACUCAUUUCCGAUGAAACUGAUCCACAUGGUUGUGCAGAACUCCAAUUCAUCUAGUUCAGAAAAACGAUAAAAGUGGCACAACUAGAGCAAAAAUCCAAGAGGUGCUAAAAUUUUAUGAGGCUCACAAAAUUGUAAAGGGCUCUACUCUAACAACAACUCCACAAUACAACCACUUUAUAUAGAUGGUGUAAUGUACAAUAACUGCAUUUAAUAAUAGCGGUUUAUAAAUGUAUGUACAACUGGCUAAGGAUUGUCGUUGAAAGAUGAUAUAAUAUUGAAAUAUCCCAAUAUAUUCAAAAUGACGAUUUUGACUGCUAUAAUCUAAACGUAAUGCAAAAUAAGAAUAUAAUUAGUAAUGCAUAUAUAUUUAUAAAAAUAAUUAGUUGAAAUAAUGGGAAACCACGGUAGUUGCGCCACUGAUUAUAUAACUAAAGAUUGUAAACAAACGGACAGUAAUAAUUGUUUGUUAAAUACAUUUAAUUUAUUUGGGUAAAUAAAGAAACAGAAUGAUUUUCGAUAUUAAGACAAAUCCCAUAAUUUUUCAUUUACAAAACAUUUUACUUCAAUUUAUCUUCAAUAAAAAAAAAUGUUAUUUUAUAUUUUUAAUUAUUUCAAGCAGCAAAAAAAUUAAAGAUUAUCUAAUUUAAAUUUGAUUCAUUUAUAUAAAUAUUUAAAGAUAAUUUAAGUUUUAUCAUAAAUUAUUAGAAUUAAUUAUACAGUAAAAAUGUAAAACUUUAUUUCUCAAAAAUGCAUUUAAAGUUAAUUUGUAUCAUUAAGCUAUAAACAUAUUUCUCAAAAAAUGUGUGUACAGAAAUGAAAACAAGUUGUGGCCUCACUUUGACUUUGUAAAGUGAUGAAAAGAAUGUGUAGCCUAAAAAUUAUUUAAGCCAAACAUGUUUUAACAUAACAUUUUAGAGGCCAUUGGGUCGAUGUAAAUUUUUUACGAAAACUGUAAAAGAUGCCGUGUCGCAUGUCGUUAUUGGGAUAGUUCAGAUUCAAAUGGAUAAAAUUAAAAACGAUUCUAACUUGAAUUGGAAUUUAAAUUAAAACAAAUUCGGUUCCUUUAUUUAUUUAUUUUUAGAAAAUUUAACUAAAAUGUAGACAUGCUGGUAUGACAACUAAAGUAUACAUUUUAAGUCAUGUGCAGCUAUCACAAGCAAAUUUUAAUAGCUAUAGUAUACAUAAUUUUGUGUAUCUGUGUAAUUAUAAACAAUGUGUUAAAGGUUAACAAACUCAGCAAUAAAACAUCAAAUUAACGAAAUGCAUUACUGCAAGAUUUUUAUGUUAAACUAUUCUUUUUUUUAACAUUUUUUAAAGGUUGUAAUUUAUGAUAGUAUUAAAAGAAAGAUUGGCAAGACUGAAAAAAAUUAAUUUUUGUAUCAAAAACUAUUUUAUAUUUAACUAAGUUUUUACAAUAUUAUAAGAUGGGAUGCAAAGUUGUUUGUUAGUUUAAAUUUUAAGAGCUACUUCUUGCUGAAGAGAUAAUUUUCAGUUUUAAACCACAGUAACAAAAAAAAAAAUGUGUUGAGUAUUUCAAUUUGAAAACUUAUUUUAGCUCCCAUAAAAAUUCACUUUUAUAAAAUUUUAAUUUUAAAUCAGUUUCUAACGGAGAAUAAUUUAGCAAUGUAAAAAUGACCUUCCAAUACAAACCUAGUUUUCGCAACAAAAAAUGCUAUUCAUACUUUGAAUAUAAAUAUCAAAUAGUAUCCAAAAAUUUUAUCCAUACAAGUUUAGAAUAAUAUAAUUAGAAUUGUUGAAUAGUAAAACAUUUGAGAUCAUUGCUCUACUCAAAGAAUAUGACGUCAAGGUUUUAUAGUAAUAUAAAUAAAACAAUAAGCGAAGGAAAUAUAAUUACAAUUGAUGUGAAUUAACACAAGUUAAUAACUUUAAAAAGCCUUCGAUAUAGUGUUUCAUUUAAAACAAAAUAAUGGUUUGUCAUUUGGUAUCAUUCGUUUUUAAACCUUGAACUAACUUAUUAUGAGCAUAUCCUACAGGGUUAUUCGUAAAAGUAGUAAGAUCUUCGGAUUAAUAUACUUAAGCAUAUUUGAAACGGUAGUUAUAUAAAACUAAAAUUAGAAAAACUUUUUUUUUUUUUUGAAAAGAAAAUAAUGAACUGAACUAACAUAUGUUGUAAUCUAGGGGAACAUGCUAAGAUUUAAUAUUUAACUCUUCAGGAAUUAUCAUUUAAAUUCUAUAUGAAAUGUUAAAUAAUAAAC